AACGAACGCUGGCGGCAUGCCUAACACAUGCAAGUCGAACGAGACCUCCGGGUCUAGUGGCGCACGGGUGCGUAACGCGUGGGAACCUGCCCUUAGGUUCGGAAUAACUCCCCGAAAGGGGUGCUAAUACCGGAUAAUGUCUUCGGACCAAAGAUCUAUCGCCUUUGGAUGGGCCCGCGUUGGAUUAGCUAGUUGGUAGGGUAAAAGCCUACCAAGGCGACGAUCCCUAGCUGGUCUGAGAGGAUGAUCAGCCACACUGGGACUGAGACACGGCCCAGACUCCUACGGGAGGCAGCAGUGGGGAAUAUUGGACAAUGGGCGAAAGCCUGAUCCAGCAAUGCCGCGUGAGUGAUGAAGGCCUUAGGGUUGUAAAGCUCUUUUACCCGGGAUGAUAAUGACAGUACCGGGAGAAUAAGCUCCGGCUAACUCCGUG
rnacentral:rRNA from 1 species